CGAUGGGAGCGGCCGAUAUCGGAUUAGCUAGUUGGUGAGGUAAAGGCUCACCAAGGCGACGAUCCGUAGCGGGUCUGAGAGGACGACCCGCCACACUGGAACUGAGACACGGUCCAGACUCCUACGGGAGGCAGCAGUGGGGGAAUUUUGGACAAUGGGGGAAACCCUGAUCCAGCCAUUCCGCGUGAGUGAAGAAGGCCUUCGGGUUGUAAAGCUCUUUCAGCAGGAACGAAACGGCAGGCUUUAAUACAGCCUGCUAAUGACGGUACCUGCAGAAGAAGCACCGGCUAACUACGUG
rnacentral:rRNA from 1 species